CCUACGGGAGGCAGCAGUGAGGAAUAUUGGUCAAUGGGCGAGAUCCUGAACCAGCCAAGUCGCGUGAGGGAAGACGGCCCUAUGGGUUGUAAACCUCUUUUGUCGGGGAACAAAACCCGGGACGUGUCCCGGCCUGCGUGUAUCCGAAGAAAAAGCAUCGGCUAACUCCGUGCCAGCAGCCGCGGUAAUAGGGAGGAUGCGAGCCUUAUCCGGAUUUAUUGGGUUUUAAGGGUGCGUAGGCGGGCCGUUAAGUCAGCGGUAAAAUUGCGGGGCUAAACCCCGUCGAGCCGUUGAAACUGGCAGACUUGAGUAGGCGAGAAGUACGCGGAAUGCGCGGUGUAGCGGUGAAAUGCGUAGAUAGCAGGAAGAACACCGGUUGCGAAGGCAGCCUGCUGGACUGCAACUGACGUUGAGGCCCGAAAGCGUGGGGAGCAAACAGGAUUAGAUACCCGUGUAGUC
rnacentral:rRNA from 1 species